rnacentral:rRNA from 1 species
UACAGAGGGUGCGAGCGUUAAUCGGAAUUACUGGGCGUAAAGCGUGCGUAGACGGUCAUGUAAGUCGGGUGUGAAAGCCCCGGGCUCAACCUGGGAAUUGCAUUCGAGACUGCAUGGCUAGGAUGCGGAAGAGGGAAGCGGAAUUUCCGGUGUAGCGGUGAAAUGCGUAGAUAUCGGAAGGAACACCAGUUGCGAAGGCGGCUCUCUGGACCAGCACUGACACUGAGGCACGAAAGCGUGGGGGAGCAAACAGG